rnacentral:rRNA from 1 species
AGAGUUUGAUCCUGGCUCAGAUUGAACGCUGGCGGCAUGCCUUACACAUGCAAGUCGAACGGCAGCACGGACUUCGGUCUGGUGGCGAGUGGCGAACGGGUGAGUAAUGCAUCGGAACGUGCCCUGAAGUGGGGGAUAACGUAGCGAAAGUUACGCUAAUACCGCAUAUUCUGUGAGCAGGAAAGCAGGGGAUCGCAAGACCUUGCGCUUUAGGAGCGGCCGAUGUCGGAUUAGCUAGUUGGCGGGGUAAAAGCCCACCAAGGCGACGAUCCGUAGCGGGUCUGAGAGGAUGAUCCGCCACACUGGGACUGAGACACGGCCCAGACUCCUACGGGAGGCAGCAGUGGGGAAUUUUGGACAAUGGGCGCAAGCCUGAUCCAGCCAUGCCGCGUGAGUGAAGAAGGCCUUCGGGUUGUAAAGCUCUUUCGGCGGGGAAGAAAUCGCACUUUCUAAUACAGAGUGUGGAUGACGGUACCCGAAUAAGAAGCACCGGCUAACUACNNGCCAGCCGCCGCGGUAAUUC